UACGGAGGGGGCUAGCGUUGUUCGGAAUUACUGGGCGUAAAGCGCACGUAGGCGGAUCAGCAAGUUAGGGGUGAAAUCCCGGGGCUCAACCCCGGAACUGCCUUUAAAACUGUUGGUCUGGAGGUCGAGAGAGGUGAGUGGAAUUCCGAGUGUAGAGGUGAAAUUCGUAGAUAUUCGGAGGAACACCAGUGGCGAAGGCGGCUCACUGGCGCGAUACUGACGCUGAGGUGCGAAAGCGUGGGGAGCAAACAGG
rnacentral:rRNA from 1 species